CAGUCGCCGCGGUAAUACGAAGGGGGCUAGCGUUGUUCGGAUUUACUGGGCGUAAAGCGCACGUAGGCGGAUCGAUCAGUCAGGGGUGAAAUCCUGGAGCUCAACUCCAGAACUGCCUUUGAUACUGUCGAUCUCGAGUCCGGAAGAGGUGAGUGGAACUCCUAGUGUAGAGGUGGAAUUCGUAGAUAUUAGGAAGAACACCAGUGGCGAAGGCGGCUCACUGGUCCGGUACUGACGCUGAGGUGCGAAAGCGUGGGGAGCAAACAGGAUUAGAUACCCGGGUAGUCCCUGUCUCUUAUAC
rnacentral:rRNA from 1 species